UUGACAUGUGUAUCGCGGUUCCAGAGAUGGUUCCUUCAGUUCGGCUGGAUACAACACAGGUGCUGCAUGGCUGUCGUCAGCUCGUGUCGUGAGAUGUUCGGUUAAGUCCGGCAACGAGCGCAACCCACAUUCUUAGUUGCCAGCAUUCAGUUGGGCACUCUAGGAAAACUGCCGAUGAUAAGUCGGAGGAAGGUGUGGAUGACGUCAAGUCCUCAUGGCCCUUACGGGUUGGGCUACACACGUGCUACAAUGGUAGUGACAAUGGGUUAAUCCCAAAAAGCUAUCUCAGUUCGGAUUGGGGUCUGCAACUCGACCCCAUGAAGUCGGAAUCGCUAGUAAUCGCGUAACAGCAUGACCGCGGUCGAAUACGUUCCCGGGCCUUGUACACACCGCCCGUCACACCAUGGGAGUUGGGUCUACCCGAAGGCGGUGCGCCAACCAGCAAUGGAGGCAGCCGACCACGGUAGGCUCAGCGACUGGGGUGAAGUCGUAACAAGGUAAGCGUAGUGCU
rnacentral:rRNA from 1 species